GGCAUCCUUAAACAAGCUCCACAGUGCAGUAUUCCUUGCCUAUUUUUUGUCAAAUAGCUCGUAGUGUGUGCUUACUUUAUUCAUUAACUUACUGUAUUACUCUUAUGAGACUGGUGUUGAUUUUAGACUUGAAGAAGUUGUACUGGAUUAAGACUCUUACAACUCAAUCAUUUGUCCUUUGAACCCUCUUGCAUUUUUUCACACAUGAGCUUUUGGGGGACACCUCAUAUCCAAACCAUAACAGUGUCCAAAAGAGUUUCAUGUUUUAGUAAUACACCUAGAAACAAACUACAAAACCAAUUAUGUAGAAACAGGAAAAUAUGCAUAGUAAAUGUUGGUAUCCUUUUUAUUUUAGUCUAAAAGGAGUAUUUUGCAGAAGGGUGUAAAUGAAAUGUAAGCAUCAUCAUUUGGUCUAGAGGAAAGGGUGCUCAUGGGGACAGCAGGAAGACUAUACCUAAUUUUAGUAUAAAAAGAGUUAUAAAAACUACGAAAGGGUAAAGUCAACCUAGAAGAUAUAUGGCAAGUACCUGCGAACCAGAGUAAGCCAGGUAAAGGACACUGAUUAGUGCAGCAGGAAAACCUAUGUCAGCCAAAGAAGGGAUUUGUCAUCAUAUAGGAGCCAUUCAAAUUUAUUAACAGAAACCUACUUAAUGUCAUCAUUUAAGUCAUCACUUUGGCCACCCCUUCUAAAAAGGUAUCUUCUGUUGUACCUCUAAUGUCAAUUUUCUCUUCUUUUACUGUCAUCAACUAAAAUUCCAGUGGACUGGAGAACUUUCCCAACCCUGUAAUUCUGCCAAAAUCCUUCACCUGAAAGCUAUCCUUAGAAAAUGCUCUUUUAACAGGCUACCAGUUCUAUUUUUGAAUCUAGGCUAAAUAAAAUAUUCCCAAGUUUUCACCAUUAUGGAACAAUUCUUAGUGUGUUAACUUCUCAUUCAUUAGUUGAUUUGAUUGUUUCUUUUAAAUGGUAAUUUUCUUGGGGUAUUCUUAGGAUUUGAGAAAAAUGAGCAGAUCACAUCCCAAGUGAUCUGGCCAUCUCAAUUUCAUUUUUCUUUGCAGCUGAAACCAAAAAUUAUUCAUAAAAAUUCUACAGUUCUAACAUAAGUAGCCUCAGGGGAGAGCAAAUGCAUCUAUCAAAUAAGAAAGGUUAAGGAUUAUUAAUGCAGAAGCCACUGUUUUCAUUGUCACCAUUAUAGCUUCAUUUGGCAAAACACAGUGGCAGAUCUUUUACAUUUCACUUCUGCAAAAAUGAAAAUAUACUAAAUGUGAAAUUAUGAAUGUAAGUGUUAUGGCAGUAUCACAUUGGAAAAUCACAUAAAAGUUUUUUUCUGUUAGCUCUUUUUUUAAAAUUUUUAUUGUUAAGCAAAUGGGAUACAUGUUGUUUCUCUGUUUGUACAUGGAGUAAAGGCAUACCAUUUGUGUUUUGUAAUAAAAACUUACGCAGUAACCGCUGAAGGGAUGUCCAAUUCUCUCACUGUUGAAUAACUGAUUUUAUAAUGCUUAUUAUACAUUAUUGCCAGGAGCAACAGUAGUAGUAAUGGAUCAACAAUUUAGGGCCACUUUUAUGUAUGUAUCAAGAGCUUUAAAAUUAAUGUAUAAAUCUCAGGCUUGUGUUUUUUCUCAUUCACAUUGCACCUCCAAUAUCUCCAGUUCUCAUGAAGUAAACUGCAGACUGAAGAACAUGACAGUGUAGCCCAGUGCCUGACUUUUCUGCAACUGGACCAUCCUGGGGCCACUCUCCUUUCCUUUGUCCUUCUGCUACUUGCUGUGACCCCACCACCCCCUCCCUCCCUCAGCUCCCAACAUGUCCAUCAAUAGUCCCAUCAGAUCAUUUCAGGACUGACAUGCACAGAGGCGACCCCCUGUUCUGGGGUUGUUCAGCUCCUUCACCAUCCUAGUCCUGGAUCCUCCUCAUUCUGUCCUAAGAUCUUUUGCCUAUAUAUUUACAUAUAAAGCACUAGGGACAACAGGAGUCCUCCUGGAUUUCAGAACUGUCCCCCAAGAGCAGCUUCAGUUUUUCUCACUCGGAUUCAGAGGGAAACCUUGCUAGUUUCCAGACCAAACUAUGGAAAUGUGAACAUUUAUUAACUAGAGAGGGGUAUCUGUGGCCAGGGUUAAGAUAAUCAAAGAGAUUAGUGUGUAAGCUGGGGUACAGUCUAUGAAAGUUGUCAGAAAUCAUAUAACCCAGUGGUUCCUGCCAGGUCAUCAGAAUCACCAUGAACCAUUCUGUGUUUUUAAAUGUAAUUCCCAGGUCCUUGCUUAGUUCUGUUGAUUCAUAUUUUUUGAUAGUAGAAUAGAGAUAAUUUUUCUGAGUUUUUUAUUUAUUGCAUGUGUUACAGACUACAGUGUAACAAGGGAAGAGAAUAUGCCUCUUGGACAUACAGGACAUAGAGUAUCACAGAAUCUGAGUUUCAUUAAGGACUAUAAUGUCAUCUAAUCUAAUCUCUUAUCUCUGGCCCAAUCUGCCUCCCUGUUACAACUUCCUUGAUGGGUGAUUGUCUAGCCUCUUCUAGAAAAUGCCCAUGUAUGGUGUCCUGUUAGAUAGUUCUUAUUAUUUCAACCCUUGUGAUGAGUUGAAAUAUGUUGCCUUAAGCCACCCACUGGUUCUAGGCAGUAUUCUCAUGUUGCAUUCUUGAUGCCUUACCAGUCCAUAGUAGAGCUGGAAAUAGUACUUAGGUUUUCUGAAUAUAUUCUAUGGAUUCAGUGUUUGGGGCUUACAGUGCCCCUACACUUUUUCCCCCUAUACCAUGUGUAAGUGUACAUUUUUAAAACACAGUGUUAGUACCAUUACCUUAAAAUAGAAAAAAAAGGAAUAUAAAUGUAUUUUAGCUAGUCUGAAUAGUCUUCUAAGAAAAAUCUUUAAUAUACUGCUAUUCUUUAGUAACAUUGUCUUUAGAGACAAGCUAACAUUUUUAGUCAUGCUUUUCCCGGAAACAAUAUCAUUAUUUCAAAUGUUAAAUCAUAGUUGAAACCAAAUCAAACCUUUUCUGUGUUUUUGAAGAUAAUCUUUUUAAAUCAAAGAUAAUUUAGCAACAGCACAAAACAUUCAGAAAUGAGAAAAAGGGAAAAUCCUACUCCUAAUUCUUCUACUUUUAAAAAACUACCCUUCAUUUUGGUAUGCGGCUAUAGAUUUUCUCGUCUUUUAAAGAAAUAUAUUGUUGAGAUACACAUACAGUUUUGAAUCCUACCUUUUCUACUUACUUUAUAUCAUAAGCAUUUUUCCAGGUUAUUGUAGUCAUCAGAACCAUUGUUUAUAAUUGCAUUAUAUUUUUUCACAAAGCUUAGUGAUGAAGAGAAUAGACUGCAGGCAGACUCCCUGGGCUUGUAUCCCAGCUCUGCCAUUUAUUGGCUCUGUGAUCCUGAACAAGUUAUUUGACUUGUUUGUGUCUUGGUUUUUCCAUUCUAUUAAAUGAAGAUAAUAUGAUUUAUCUCAUAGGGUUAUAAGAAGUAUAUUUACAGGUCUUGUUGUGCCUGACAUAUAGUAAAUUCUGUACGUUACUUAAAAAAUUGCUGUUUCACCUUUAUAAUCGAGUGCACAUAUCAAAAAUUACUUAAGUAUAUCUGUUUGGACUUUAGGUUGCUUCUGUUUCUUGUCCCUGUAAAACUUUGAUGUAAGUGACAAAGUGUACCUUCUAAGAUAUACUUCAGAAUUAUUUUCAUAGGUUAUUUUACUCAAGUUUUUAAAACUUUUUAAUUGGUUUAUGCUCCUCUUGAAGGUACUUGUACUGCAUCUACACCUUUUGUAUUGCUGGGAAACGUUUUGGAUUGUCUUCCUUUGGAUCAAUGUGACACAGUAUUCACUUAGGGAAAAUAAUGUUGCUACACGGAAAUUAGUAAUUGUGUUAGUUUCUUUUCCUGCUAACAUUGUCUUUGAAUAGAUCCUGAGUUCUGAGAUUAAUUUUGUUUAUUUGAUUAUAUUUCUAAUAUUGCUGAUUGCCAAAAUGUUUGUCCCCAUGAAAGAAUUUUAUACUGUGCUGUCUUGGGAGAGCCAAAUAAGAAUCAUGUGGAGAAAAAUUUGAGUGCAAAGCUUGAUUGAGUAGUAAAAAGUAACCUGAAGAUACAUACUUUCAGGUGUUUAUAGCAGAUACUCAGUGUUGUGUUAUGUUAUAUUCCUGAACAUAUUUUAACUUUUUUGAAAAAUGUUAUUAGGUUGACAAAAGUGAAAGCACAGUACAUUCUCAGUGCCCAAUAAUAUUUAAUAUUUUCUUCCUGUGACUUAUUAUUGAAGGGGGUGUGACAGCUUCUGAAGAAUAUUAAUAAUUUCUGUCUAAAUUCCAUAGUACAUUCUGUUCUGCUGGGAAGAAUUAUUGUGGACGUGCAAUAGUAAGUAAUUCAGUGAAAAAAUGAUUAUUUUUAAAAAUGUAUAUGUGGCCACAAGAAUAGGUGGGUGAAUUACAUACCAGUGAUAACAUGAGUUUUUUGUUGUUGUUGUUUUUGCUGUUUUGCAUUAUAAUUAUAUAUAAUAGUAGAAUUUGUUGUUGCAUAUUCUUAAUUUGGUUAGUUUUGUUCCCAGUUCCCCUUCAAUAAUCACGUUUUAAAGAUAGACAUUACUAUCCUCAUUUUUAGGAAACAGUCUGAUUUAUUAAAACUGAUCAUUAAUGUUAAGCUCUGUUCUAAGUGCAAACUAUGAAAGUCAGAAAAAUGUAAAUUUAUCCAUACUGAUUUUGAUUUUUUGCAGAUAGUAAUUGUUGUGAGAAUGGUUUCUUCCUCCAUUUUGAGAACCAUUUCUUUAGGAAAACACUCAAACUGGUUAAGAAAGUUAGAUAUUGUUGUAAGACAUUCUGAGUAACAUUCAGUUCUCUGUAUUGUUAGAUCUUUUAGGAGAUAAUAUAAAUCUCAGAGUACAGUCUUCUGUGGACCAAUUCAACUCUUUUUGACCAGGCUUUUUCUUCUAUCUGAAAAAUCAGCACAUUGAGGAUAGAGAUGAGGGGAAGGAUAUAGAAGAAUGUGAAAUGGGAGAUGAUGAAGCUCCAACAACAUGUAUCUGUCGUAAAUGUUAACCACUUGCACACAACCGUAGAGGUGUGCAGACAAAUCAAGAAGCCAGCCCAGUCCACCUGGAGAAUCUUAAUCAUUUCUUCAGUCACAUUUAAACCAUGGCAGAUAUAGCAAAGAUCUUGGCCAAAACUUGCAACUGUGUCAGAGUUAGAAAUCCUACUGCCUGACUAGCACUUAUUUAAGAAAAAAGAGUUCAGAAGAUUCAACACCUUGCUAUGUGAUUUUUUUCCUUGCCUCCUCCACCCCCCGCCUUUUUAUUGUUGGACUAACGUUGAGAGGAUUUGAUAUAGUGAUUGGGAUUCCUCUUGCUAUUAUUAAAUAAAGCCACCCGAAACCUUUUAGAGUGACACCGUCCAAACUGCUUUCUGUAUAUGUACAGUUGUGGCAGAGCUCAUAGAUCCUUGUUUCAAAGUAAAGAGUUUACAUAGAGCAAUAGUAUCUAUGCACAUCAAAUGUACUGAGUAACAAGUAGCGCAGUUGAAUGACUUACAUUCAUGGAGCUGAACUGAGUGCUUAUAUAUUCCAAGAAAUUAGCUCAUUCACUCUUACUCCCUCUGAAGAUGUAUGGACAUCUCUAAUUUCAUGCAGGAGAGGAGUCCAGUAAAUUGCUCCAAAUCCCAGGUGAGUAGGCAGUAGACUCCAGAAGACUUUUUUCCUGCAAUCAGAGCAAGUCAUCACCAAGAUUUCUAAUCUAAUCACUUGACUAGGACUCAAAAUUCUGGUUUCAGAAGGAACUGUGAUAGUGUAGGCUAUUGCCUGUAGUUAAACCUGAUUAAACCCAAGUAGGAAACACACAACUGCUUUCCAUAUAAUUUCCAAUCCAGCAGUUGUUUUUUUUUUUUGCAUAAGAAACUAGGCAAAGUCCCCUAACAUUUAAGCAAAUUGUGAAACUUAAUUUAGGAUAAGAAAUCAUAAAUAUUUAGAUCAUUCUUUGAGCUCAUUAUUUUGCAAAAGAAAGCACUGAGUCUGAGGAGAAGUAUAGACUGAUCUGAUAAGGUAAAGAAAUAUAGAAUAAUUCUUCCUCACCACAGGAAUUCUAUACCUAUUUUUAGUUUUCUAUUUCAGGCCUUAAAUCCCUAAUUUUUCUGUCAUGUGUAUCCCUUGUUUUCCAGUUUCUGUUAAGCAUAUUUUUUGUAAUAAAUGAAGUUCUCUUCAUUAUAGACUCUUCCUUAUCCUGAACUUCUGAUAUGUAUCUUCCACCAGGAAUAGUACCUGAGGCAUGGUUUCUGUCCUUAAUGGAAAUCCUCCUCUCCACCCCUUGACAUUUAAAGAUUGACUCAUGGCACUGUGUGUAGGCUUUGGUGUCCAUCUUGAGGGUUAUUUGAGGUUGUCUAGCAAGUCUGACCCCUUCCUUUCCCAUUAUAUCUGAGCUGGCACCAGUCUUGCCAGAAGUUCUUUAAAACUGGUUGGCCCCACAUCAUAAAAGGUGUACUUAAUUAAAUAAUUCCCUUCUUAGACAUUUUGUAUAAUCUCAUUGUCAAAUGAAGCUUGGUGUUUACUAGGUAUAAAGCAAGUGAAGCUUUGAUUAUUGUAUGAUGAGGCUACCUCAGAAAACAGACACACCCUCAAGACUUUCAGACCCAGUGUAUGUUGUUAUUUGGAACUAGUCUGUGAAGUUACACACUGUCAGCACAGUGUACAGCUUACUUUGUUUUAUUAAGGAUUAAAAUGAUGAAGGGACAAAAACAGGUAAAAAAACUACUCCUGUUCAUUCUUCUAUAUAUGCUGCUGGUUUUCAUGAUGGCUUAUCUUACAAGGAGAGAUGCAAUAUAUCUUUUGCACUUUCCAUCUGUAACAUCCAUCAAUUUUGAUAGCAGUAAAACUGUCUUUUUUAAUAGAUUUAUUCCCUAGUCUAAAAUGAAAGCCUGAGACUCAGUUCAUUCAAUCAUUUUUGACAGUUAUUGAGCAUCUUCUGUGUCAAGGUAUGGAUCAACAGUUCUUACAAAGUCUUGCUUUGUGUGGUUGCCCAGACAUCUUGAUGUCAGGUUUCUUAGCAUCAGAAAACUUCUGUACAUACAUACUGUUAUGAAUGAAAAAAAAAAUCAUAUUCUUCUUGUCAUUUAGCAAAGCUAAGAAGAGACAGCAGUUUUGGAACAGUUGGGGGAAAAUUUAGUGCAUGUUUCAAAACCUUUUCCCUCAUGUUGAGCAGCUUAGGAAAUGGCCAGGAAGUCAGGUCUGAACUUUAACAUCACUGACACCUUGAAAAGUUGUGGUUUUGUUUACUAGAUCAACCCUUCCCUUUCUGGAAUCCAGGAGGUGAUAUGGGAGGGAUGCAUUCUGAAGAAAUCCUGUUCAGCACUGCCCUUCCACUCAGAAACUUCUAUGGGAUUAUGAGUCCUUCACAUCACUGUUCCUUUUUGUACUAGCAGGCACUGCUUGCUGGCUAGGCUUGCCUUGCUGUGCUUGGCACAUCCCUUCCUUGCCCACCACAAUAAAGCACUACGUGAUUGAAUUUUUUGAGUGAGUGGCCCAGAUGCCAGGAGGGUUCUGAAUGCAAGCAUAUUUUAUAGGAGGUCCUGAUGUUGAACUGGGGAUUGUUCUUAAACUGUUGUUCUUUGUCAAAAGUGAGAAAUACAUCAUGACACAACACAAAUGCAUAGAUACAUGUGGAGGUUUAACUGAAACUUUACAGAUCCUUCUACCAGCACUACCCACUGCCUAAAAGGUACUCUGAUGUUUUCUUUACUGUUCUAUCAUACUAUUUCAUUUUAUGAACAAAUUAUCUUGUUACCUACUAAAUUAAUUUUGUUUUUCAAUAAUGGGUUGUAACCCACAGUUUUUAAAAAUAU